UUUCUAAUUUUAAUAACAACACUCAAUCCCAGGCCCAACACAACUUCAGCACCAGCAGCCUAACAUCGGCUGCACCGACCCGACCCGCAAUAGCCCAACUCUCUCUUCCUUCUCUUCUAUCAGAAUAUCGACAACAAACAAUUGUAGUAUGCGAACAACUAUUACAACAACAUCGCAAACAAAUUUUCCAAAACCCCCCCCAACAGACCCAAUUUUAAACCCGAAAUCAAUCCCAAACUGCCUUUUUUCCCUUUCUUACUCCUCACAUGAUUAACACGCGAUUUUGUACCAUGAAGGGUCGACAAUCUUCUAGAAAAUAUCGAGGUGGUUCCUAAACGGUUGAAUUCAUACAAAUUUAUACAUAUUUGUGUGAAUUUCAUUGGUUGGGUGUAUAAUCCCUCGUUCCCUAAUUUUUCUUGGAUCACCUAUUUCAAAUUUCUUGAAAAAAGACCAAAAUCAGUACAAGGUUGAGAAAAUUUUUUGUUAUCAUCCAAAAAUAUCUCUUACAAAAAUUCUCAAAUUACCCUUAAAGAUAAAAAAAUGAUCCUUAUAUUAAUGCUCUUUAUUGAGCUAAAAGUUCAAGUCUAAAAGAGUUAAAAAAAACCUUGAGCAAGGAUUUGAAAUUUUUUAGUAAAACAAAAUUCUCAAUUAGUCAGAAGUCUAAAAGCUGCUUUCGGUAGUGGCGAAUUCUGGCGAAGUUUAAGGCACCAUUUUGCUUCCCUGAGAAAGGCAAAUGGGGCCAUCUCUUCGAGUCAACUUCAAGCUAAGUCCAAAAGUUUGUCCUAUGGAGUACCGUAAUAAGGAUAUAGAAGAAGAUAAUGGGUCCAAGCCCAUUGACAUAGCUGCUAGGAUUUGGAGACUUGAAAAGUCUCAUUCUUCAUUAUUUUAUUUAUUUAGUAUUGCUUUACUUGUCUUUAUUCAUUUAGUUACUUAUUUAUUCAUUCAUUCAGGGCCUCAAAGCUAAAGUGGUAAAUUAAUACAGAGAAAGCAGAUUUUGGGCCAAAGGGGUCCGAAAAGAUAGUUUAGGACAGGUUAUAGGCCAAAAGCCUAAUAUUUAAAUUAGGACAGGUGAAAAUGAGCUAAAAGCCCAAAUGAAUAGUUAAGGACAGAGGUAUUUGGGCCAAAAGCCCAAUUAUAUUAGUACAGGAUUGAUGGAUUUUGGCUUACAAGCCUGACUUAUAAUUCUUCCCGUUCCCCUUUAUGUGUUAUUUGAUAUUAGUUUUCUUAGAACUAGUUAAAUUCCCCAUUAAGUCGUCCAAAA